ncrna:unclassified sequences skipping-rope RNA
AAUUGCUGAGGUCGGAAAGGUUCCCGGCACACUCCGUUGCAUUGCGUUUGCGCAUAUAUGCGACUGAGUACCUGAGAUGCAGGAUACACCGCCCUGCCAUCAAUU